UUUCUUUCCCUUCCCCGGUUUUCUUUUUUGCCAACCCCUUAACCAUCCGCCGUUUCCAUAGUUCAGUUACAGAUCAAAGAAAAAUUCAUGGUCUCAUCUUCAGUCACUCCUAUAACUCUGAUAGCGCACUAGUACAUACUCCGGCGAGAAUCUUCAGGCUGGUGGGUUGGCGGAUUUCGGCGAUGCUUUGCGAUUGUGCAGUCUGCUGGUGGGCGGUGGCGAUGACGAGGAGAGGUAUGAUGAAGGAAGGAGACUAGGAAAGAGAAAGAAGUGUAAUGGGAAAUUGCUUGGCUGUUUGUCACUGGAAUUUUCCGAUGAUUAAUUGUGCCCAGUUAGUGAAAUCCUAGUUGGAUCAUGAUAUAAUCAAUCAAGUGGUUCUUAGGCCGUCUACAACUCAUCCUUCACACUGUCAGCUUCAUCCUUAUUCGAUCUCAAGCUCCUAUGCCUUAUCUUCUUGCUCAACUGUUGCAUCAGGGUUGAUGCUAAAGCUAGACUUUGCAGAAUCAUAUAUACGACAAACAAAAUCCUUAAGGUCAUCCAAAUAGAAGCCACUGUCAAAGAGAGAUGUCUGGUGCAUGAGCCGUGUUGUCAGGUACACGAACUAUUAGAAUUUGUUUCAGGAAAGCCAUAUAUUUAUGUCUGAUUUCAGGAUAAAGUCCCUGUGUUCAGAAUUUCAAACCACGGUUGGUCAAAUACUUGGAUAUGUACCUAUACAAGACACUGGUCAGGUUACCUAAAAAAGAUGGUGGCUUGAUUGGUCUGAUGGGUAGAAAGAUGUACUACGAUUAAGGGGUAUUAUACGAUUAAGGUUAAAGGUCAGAAACUUGAUUUGAGUGGGUUUUAGCUAAAUGACAAUGGUGCUUGUAAUUUGUGACGUUAUUUAUAGCCUCAUUCCAUCCUAUCUCUUUUCAUUAAUGGUUGAACUUUGUCCAUUCUGAGAUCAAUGAGCUUAGUUGAACAUUAGUGUAAGCUCACCUCUUAAUAUAAUUAGAAAACUGAUUUUAGAGUUUGCCAGAGUUCCUAUCAGAAUUCUGUGUAUUUGAAGUAUCAAUCUUUAUUUCAAGAAGGCGAUCGUUGUGCUUUUGUUUGAUUGCCAGCUUCCUUUCCUUGUUUCUCUGAUAUUGUGGGGGUGUUUAGUGGAUGAUUGAUGAAGAAAAGGGAAGAAGACACGUUUAUUAGAGAGAAUGAAAAGGUAGAACUGAGUAAUUAUAAAUGAAAGAAUUAAAAAGUAAAACAAAAUAAAAAAAAUUAACCAAAACUGCCACGUCAUACUUGUCACCCAUUGUAACCGGUCAAAAUUUAUUGCAACUUGUUAAUAAUACAUGGGUAUAAAAGGUAGACUUAUUCAGAUAUAAUCGAAAGUUUGACUUAUUUUUAGUAGACAUGUCAAAGGUUGACUUGUUAAUAUUGGUUUUAUGUAGGUCUCCUUCUAUUAAGGUGCUGAAUAUGUGGGUAAUGUAUGAUAGUUUUAAGAAUUAAGGUUUUGGUUUAGUAAAAUUUUGGAGGUUUUUGUUAUAGAAUGAACAAUGUGAACUAGCUGUUAUCACUAUAUUCUCUACAAUUUGAUUAAAUAGUUUUUCUAAUUAUUAGUUACAUAGUUCAGUACUUCAGUGGUGUAUUUAUUGCUAACAAAAAUCAUGUAUUACGAAUAUACAAGUAUCUUGGUGUAUUCUGGUAUUUUUCUUGUAGGAUCUACAAGUAUCUAGGUAUUAUAAUUUCCUAAAUAAUAUUGUUAUCCUCAAUACACUAGUCCUGCCACUUCAUGCCUUAGAUUUACCUAUGUUAAUGUGAAGGCUGUGCCCAAUGAUAUUUAUCUAAAAGAGAAGGAAGAGGCUACCGAAACAAGUAGAAGUGGUUGGCAAGAUAUAGAUGGUAAGGGAACGGGAGUCAUUUUGAGCCAUGAAAAGCUUUCGGAACAUGUAUCCUUUUGUUUUAAGACUGUUUUGUGCUUUGUGCUUUUUGGUGUUCUCUUGACCUUUUAACUAUUUAGUAGUCUAGAAAUUAUUUUGGUUUAAUAAUUAUUUCGCAGGUACUACCUUCCUAUUGAAUACCAUGGGCAUGCAUCUUCUGUUGUCAUCUUUGGAACUGAUAUAGUGAGACCAAGGGGGCAGGGACCUCCAACUCCUAAUUCUCCACCCCCUUACUUUAGACCUUCGUACAAGUAAGACUAUGAGCUAGAAAUGGAUCAAGAUGAUGGAUUGGAUCGGAUAGCAAAUGAAGAUUAAAGUUGACAUUGAGAAUCAUGCAGGCGUAAGGGAAAUCAGUUGAAGAUGAAAAGAUAGGAGACAUUUAGUUUUGGAUUAUACAUUUUAGUUUUGGUUAUGAUCAUUUGAUUUUAUUUUGAACAUAAUAAUGUAAUUUUCAUAGAUCGUACAUCAAAUACUAAUAUUUUCAUUUGUUAGGGAGCGGGUGUGCUCCCUUCCUUUAGUUGUUUCCUUGUUUGGAACUUAUUUUGUGUACGUACUAUCUUUUGGUAAUAAAAUUGCUAUUUUACCAAAAACAAUUAUAAAUUUAUUAUUUAUUAUAAAUAAUAUUAUUAUUAUUA